UAGGGAAUCUUCGGCAAUGGACGAAAGUCUGACCGAGCAACGCCGCGUGAGUGAAGAAGGUUUUCGGAUCGUAAAACUCUGUUGUUAGAGAAGAACAAGGACGUUAGUAACUGAACGUCCCCUGACGGUAUCUAACCAGAAAGCCACGGCUAACUACGUGCCAGCAGCCGCGGUAAUACGUAGGUGGCAAGCGUUGUCCGGAUUUAUUGGGCGUAAAGCGAGCGCAGGCGGUUUCUUAAGUCUGAUGUGAAAGCACCCGGCUCAACCGGGGAGGGUCAUUGGAAACUGGGAGACUUGAGUGCAGAAGAGGAGAGUGGAAUUCCAUGUGUAGCGGUGAAAUGCGUAGAUAUAUGGAGGAACACCAGUGGCGAAGGCGGCUCUCUGGUCUGUAACGGACGCUGAGGCUCGAAAGCGUGGGGAGCAAACAGG
rnacentral:rRNA from 1 species